rnacentral:snRNA from 1 species
CGCUUCUCGGCCUUUUGGCUAAGAUCAAGUGUA